rnacentral:rRNA from 1 species
GACGAACGCUGGCGGCGUGCUUAACACAUGCAAGUCGAGCGGUAAGGCCCUUUCGGGGUACGACGAGCGGCGAACGGGUGAGUAACACGUGGGUGACCUGCCCUCAGCUCUGGGAUAAGCCUGGGAAACCGGGGUCUAAUACCGGAUAUGACUCCAUGACGCAUGUUGUGGGGUGGAAAGCCUUGUGCGGCUGAGGAUGGGCCCGCGGCCUAUCAGCUUGUUGGUGGGGUGAUGGCCUACCAAGGCGACGACGGGUAGCCGGCCUGAGAGGGCGACCGGCCACACUGGGACUGAGACACGGCCCAGACUCCUACGGGAGGGCAGCGAGGUGGGGAAUCUUGCGCAAUGGGCGAAAGCCUGACGCAGCGACGCCGCGUGAGGGAUGACGGCCU